rnacentral:rRNA from 1 species
UACAGAGGUCUCAAGCGUUGUUCGGAUUUACUGGGCGUAAAGGGCGCGUAGGCGGCUUAACAAGUCACUUGUGAAAUCUCCGGGCUUAACUCGGAACGGCCAAGUGAAACUGUCAAGCUAGAGUGCAGAAGGGGCAAUCGGAAUUCUUGGUGUAGCGGUGAAAUGCGUAGAUAUCAAGAGGAACACCUGAGGUGAAGACGGGUUGCUGGGCUGACACUGACGCUGAGGCGCGAAAGCCAGGGGAGCAAACGGG